UCUGCUAGCUAGGGCGUCAAAGUCAUCAUUGCACGUCUCUCCCUUCUUCCUUCAAAAUCUUCACAAAUCCAUUUUUUCUUCCUUCGUUCAAUGUUUACUAUGAUUCUUCUUUUAUAUUUUGCAACUUCAUCCAUAUUGUUUUCAUUGUUCACUCAUGAUUUUAAUCUUGGAGAAGCUUAUCAUCUUGGCUUGAUCAGCUAGCAAGAAGGAUUUGAGGAUUAGAAGAUUUGAGACCAACUAAAUAAGGAUUUAGUUUCGAACAACAAGGAAAAUUUUUGACAAAAGAGGCCCAAUUAAUCAUGAUAAAUCCUGAGGUGAUGAAGAAAUGGCUGAGGAGAGAUGAAAAAAUGGCUGAGGAGGGCUAUGUUAAAUCCUAGAUGUGUAGAUACUCGUUACUCGAUAAGUUUCUGCUCGUUACUCAAUGAAAAUUUCUUUCUAUCCUCGAUGAGUUUCUGUUCUUCGCUUGAUGGAACUCGACAAGUGUUGAUCGUUACUCGAUUCUAUUCAAUGAGUAUUAAUCUUUACUCAAAGCAAAAGAUGAAAACUCUUGACUCGAUGCUACUCGAUAGGAGAAAUUUGGGUCUUGUUGUAACUCAACACUCUGAAAACAUCAUGAUUUGAUAACAA